UGUUAGGGGCAAAAGGGAAUUUCCCAGUGUAGCGGUGAAAAUGCGUAGAGAUUGGGAAGAACCCCAGUGGCGAAGGCGUUCUGCUGGACCACAACUGACACUCAGGGACGAAAGCUAGGGGAGCGAAUGGGAUUAGAUACCCCAGUAGUCCUAGCCGUAAACGAUGGAUACUAGGCGUUGUGAGUAUCGACCCUCACAGUGCCGUAGCCAACGCGUUAAGUAUCCCGCCUGGGGAGUACGCGCGCAAGCGUGAAACUCAAAGGAAUUGACGGGGGCCCGCACAAGCGGUGGAGUAUGUGGUUUAAUUCGAUGCAACGCGAAGAACCUUACCAGGGCUUGACAUGUCCGGAACCCAACUGAAAGGUUGGGGUGCCUUCGGGAGCCGGAACACAGGUGGUGCAUGGCUGUCGUCAGCUCGUGUCGUGAGAUGUUGGGUUAAUUUCCGCAUCGAGCGCGACCCUCGUUUUUAGUUGCCAGCACUUCGGGUGGGCACUCUAAAGAGACUGCCGGUGACAAACCGGAGGAAGGUGGGGAUGACGUCAAGUCAGCAUGCCCCUUACGUCCUGGGCGACACACGUACUACAAUGCUACGGACAAAGGGCCGCAAGCCGGCAACGGCAAGCAAAUCCCAUAAACCGUGGCUCAGUUCAGAUUGCAGGCUGCAACUCGCCUGCAUGAAGGUGGAAUCGCUAGUAAUCCCAGAUCAGCACGCUGGGGUGA
rnacentral:misc_RNA from 1 species